AUUGAACGCUGGCGGCAGGCCUAACACAUGCAAGUCGAGCGAGAGGCGGACGGGUGAGUAAUGUAUGGGAAACUGCCUGAUGGAGGGGGAGAACAACUGGAACCAGUAGCUAAUACCGCAUCCCAUAAGAUGUGCCCAGAUGGGGUUAGCGAGUAGGUGGGGUAACGGCUCACCUAGGAGACGAUCCCUCGCUGGUCUGAGAGGAUGCCCAGCCAAACUGGAACUGAGACACGGUCCAGACUCCGACGGGAGGCAGCAGUGGGGAAUAUUGCACAAUGGGCGCAAGCCUGAUGCAGCCAUGCCGCGUGUGUGAAGAAGGCCUUCGGGUUGUAAAGCACUUUCAGCGGGGAGGCGUUACCCGCAGAAGAAGCACCGGCUAACUCCGUGCCAGCAGCCGCGGUAAUUC
rnacentral:rRNA from 1 species